UUCACGAUGUGUAUUAAGAUAAUAUUUCUACAUGACGAUAUUUAUUUGCUGCGCUCACCUGAACAAGCCUAACUUAACCGUUUCUCACAGAUUUGAAUUGCUAUGCAGUGCGCAGAUGCGGAUCUGGGAAACACCAGAAGUUAACCGUUUUAAACAUUAAGUUACCUAAUUUAACAUUUGUUUUAUAACAUCAUGUUAUUUAUAAUGAUAUCCAUCUGCUGUGCACUCCUAAACUUUUUCUCGGAGAUAUUUUCUUUCACUCGCGAUGCUCUGGAGCAGAUGGGGAAUUUGGUUUUAACAAGGAAAACACCAAAAAUUGUUCAUGCUGGCUUAAUAGAAAAACUAAAUGGAGAUGAUAUGCUUGAAGAGUAUGAAGCCACCAAUACAUGAGUGGCACAUCUACAGUGGUAGUCAGAGUUUCGGUUCUCUCAUCAGUGUACUCAAAGCUGAACGUGCUUUCUUCUCCAACGCUGACACUGUAUCCUGUAGAAACUUCUUCAAUUCCUGGAAUCCCUGCCUUCACUUCCAC